rnacentral:rRNA from 1 species
AUUGAACGCUGGCGGCAGGCCUAACACAUGCAAGUCGAGCGAGCGGCGGACGGGUGAGUAAUGUCUGGGAAACUGCCUGAUGGAGGGGGAUAACUACUGGAAACGGUAGCUAAUACCGCAUACCAUCAGAUGUGCCCAGAUGGGAUUAGCUAGUAGGUGGGGUAACGGCUCACCUAGGCGACGAUCCCUAGCUGGUCUGAGAGGAUGACCAGCCACAAGGAAUCGGAGCCACGGUCCAUACUCCUACGGGAGGCGUCAGGGGGGAAUAUUGAACAAUGGGCGCAAGCCGGAUGCAGCCAUGCCGGGUGGUGGAAGAAGGCCUUCGGGUUGUAAAGCCCUUUCAGCGGGGCGGCGUUACCCGCAGAAGAAUCACCGGCAAACUCCGUGCCAGCAGCCGCGGUAAUAC